AUCGGAGGAGGGUAACAGAACCCCAAUUAUCUAAGUGUGUGUAUUUGAAAGAGUACAUGUAACGUGCAAAAUACAAUAGAAAGAGUUUGUACGCAAUCUCCAUGGACUUCAUUACAUAAUGAACGUAUCUGGACAGUGUGGGACAGGCUACGUAGAUGUGAAAUCUUUGAAGUUGACAUGAGAAGAAGCACAGUAUUUCCUUAAAGAUGAUGCAGAAAUAACUUUCAAUAAUUCGUUCAACGACUUCAUUCAUUUGGCACUUCUGACCAAUCGUAUGCCCCACGGAGCUGUAGACAUGGAUGAAAUUUCUCCUCUCCAAUCCUCACCGGAACCUGUACCCGGAACAUUAAGAGAUGGCACACCCACAGAUGAUGAAUUAGAAGAACUGGGAAAUGAAAUUAAAGAAUGGAAAAAGCUUGGGCGUCGCCUUGAGGUCAGUGAACCAAAGCUUACAGAAAUAUCUCAAGCUCAUGAACAACUGUCUGCAAAGGUAUACCACAUGUUAAAGUACUGGAAACAAGGAAAAGGUUGUUCUGCAACCUACAAGACUUUGUGCAAUGCAUUAAAACACAAACUUGUACAGCGCCAAGACUUAGCAGAGCGGUUUUGCCACAUUAAUGGUAAGCAUUUUCUAUUAAU